rnacentral:rRNA from 1 species
AUCCAGACUCCUACGGGAGGCAGCAGUGGGGAAUAUUGCACAAUGGGGGGAACCCUGAUGCAGCGACGCCGCGUGGGUGAAGGAGUACUUCGGUACGUAAAGCCCUAUCAGCAGGAAAGAAAAUGACGGUACCUGACUAAGAAGCCCCGGCUAACUACGUGCCAGCAGCCGCGGUAAUACGUAGGGGGCAAGCGUUAUCCGGAUUUACUGGGUGUAAAGGGAGCGUAGACGGCAGUGCAAGUCCGGAGUGAAAGCCCGGGGCUCAACCCUGGGACUGCUCUGGAAACUGCGUCGCUGGAGUACGGGAGGGGCAGGCGGAAUUCCUGGUGUAGCGGUGAAAUGUGUAGAUAUCAGGAGGAACACCGGCGGCGAAGGCGGCCUGCUGGACCGUGACUGACGUUGAGGCUCGAAAGCGUGGGGAGCGAACAGGAUUAGAUACCCCUGUAC